AGCUUUGCGCAGUGGCAGUAUCGUAGCCAAUGAGGUUUAUCCGAGGCGCGAUUAUUGUUAAUUGAAAACUUUUUUUUAAAGUAUAUGUACAGGGGCGCCAGGGUAGCUCAGUGUCCAACUCCUGAUUUCGGCUCAGGUCA